UAAUACGAACUGUGCAAACGUUAUUCGGAAUCACUGGGCUUAAAGGGUGCGUAGGCGGCUUGUUAAGCAGGGUGUGAAAGCCCUCGGCUCAACCGAGGAAUUGCGCCCUGAACUGGCGAGCUGGAGUGAGGCAGGGGUGUGUGGAACUUCCGGUGGAGCGGUGAAAUGUGUUGAUAUCGGAAGGAACGCCUGUGGCGAAAGCGACACACUGGGUCUCAACUGACGCUGAGGCACGAAAGCCAGGGGAGCGAACGGG
rnacentral:rRNA from 1 species